rnacentral:rRNA from 1 species
AGUGAACGCUGGCGGUAGGCCUAACACAUGCAAGUCGAACGGCAGCACAGUAAGAGCUUGCUCUUACGGGUGGCGAGUGGCGGACGGGUGAGGAAUACAUCGGAAUCUACUUUUUCGUGGGGGAUAACGUAGGGAAACUUACGCUAAUACCGCAUACGACCUACGGGUGAAAGCAGGGGAUCUUCGGACCUUGCGCGAUUGAAUGAGCCGAUGUCGGAUUAGCUAGUUGGCGGGGUAAAGGCCCACCAAGGCGACGAUCCGUAGCUGGUCUGAGAGGAUGAUCAGCCACACUGGAACGGAGACACGGACCAGACUCCUACGGGAGGCAGCAGUGGGGAAUAUUGGACAAUGGGCGCAAGCCUGAUCCAGCCAUACCGCGUGGGUUAAGAAGGCCUUCGGGUUGUAAAGCCCUUUUGUUGGGAAAGAAAAGCAGCAGGUUAAUACCCCGCUGUUCUGACGGUACCCAAAGAAUAAGCACCGGCUAACUUCGUG